rnacentral:misc_RNA from 1 species
GAAAUGCGAUAAGUAGUGUGAAUUGCAGAAUUCAGUGAAUCAUCGAAUCUUUGAACGCACAUUGCGCCCUUUGGUAUUCCGAAGGGCAUACCUGUUCGAGCGUCAUUUAAACUCUCAAGCGUUGCUUGGCCUUGGGCGCUCUUGGCCCCGCGUGCGGGGACUCGCCUUAAAGUGAUCGGCUGCUAGUACAUCGACUACGGCGCACAGUACAGUGUCGCUGCCGGGUCGGACCGUACACGGGUUGGCCGCAGUCAACACCCAUUUUUCAGUUUUGACCUCGGAUCAGGUAGGAAUACCCGCUGAACUUAA